GACGAACCGUACGAACGUUAUUCGGAAUCACUGGGCUUAAAUGGUGCGUAGGCUGCGCAGCAAGUUGGGUGUGAAAUCCCUCGGCUCAACCGAGGAACUGCGCCCAAAACUGCUGUGCUCGAGGGAGAUAGAGGUGAGCGGAACUUAGGGUGGAGCGGUGAAAUGCGUUGAUAUCCUAAGGAACACCCGUGGCGAAAGCGGCUCACUGGAUCUCUUCUGACGCUGAGGCACGAAAGCUAGGGUAGCGAACGGG
rnacentral:rRNA from 1 species